rnacentral:tRNA from 4 species
GCGGAAGUAACUCAAUGGCUAGAGUCCCUGCCUUCCAAGCAGGUUGUUGCGAGUUCGAGUCUCGUCUUCCGCUCCA